GGGGUUGUAGCUCAAUUGGUUAGAGCGCGGUACUUAUAAGCAGUACGGCUGCCCUUUCGUUUGUUUGUUUUAUCAAGCGACUGACGGAGGGUGUGCGCAAUGCCGAGGUCGUGGGUUCGAGCCCCACCUUCCCUG
rnacentral:tRNA from 1 species